rnacentral:rRNA from 1 species
AGAAUCAACGCUGGCGGCGUGCCUAACACAUGCAAGUCGAACGAGAAAGUGGAGCAAUCCAUGAGUAAAGUGGCGCACGGGUGAGUAACACGUGACUAACCUACCCUUGAGUGGGGGAUAACCUCGGGAAACCGGGGCUAAUACCGCAUAAUAUCGAGAGAUCAAAGGAGCAAUUCGCUUAAGGGAGGGGGUCGCGGCUGAUUAGCUAGUUGGUAGGGUAAUGGCCUACCAAGGCUAUGAUCAGUAUCCGGCCUGAGAGGGCGCACGGACACACUGGAACUGAAACACGGUCCAGACUCCUACGGGAGGCAGCAGUGGGGAAUUUUGCGCAAUGGGGGAAACCCUGACGCAGCAACGCCGCGUGGAGGAUGAAGUCCCUUGGGACGUAAACUCCUUUCGAUCGGGACGAUUAUGACGGUACCGGAAGAAGAAGCCCCGGCUAACUUCGUGCCAGCAGCCGC